ensembl:lncRNA
AUACUCAGAAGCUGGCCCUACUGCAUCAGCCUAAUCAAGUUUUACCCCUGCCUGAGCUCUGGUGGGAGGUCUACUCUGAGAACUUGGGAGGGCAAACACCUGAGCAAAACUGGGGCUCUGUCAGCUCUGAUGGCCAGGAACAGCCCAAGGCCAACCGUGAGCAAUUAACUCCAUCUGCCACAUGGACGCACCUUGCUAUAGCUAAGAGAAGGGAUCAUUGCAGGUCCAUCACCCACUAGAUGACGAAUAAUGAGGAAUAAAAAAAGAUUUCUGUUAGAAGAGAUUUCAUUUCUAUUUUAAUCCUCUAAUUCCCCGUAAAAACUGGAAAAUACCUUAUAAACUUCAGCUCGAGUGCUAAAUUAGUUAAACAAGGAGACCAUUAGACUGAGGUGGCUCUAACGUCAUGGUGGCUUAUUUCUCCUGUCAGAAGAGGGAACCAAAGGAGACCCCCGACAGCCCCAGGAACAACAGCAAUGGAGCAUAGAAUCACUAAGGACGAAGACUGCUCUUGAACUUCCUUGGAAGGGACCACACAAGGUCCUCCUCACUACCCAGACGGCAGCCAACCUUCAGGGUCUUAAACCUUAGGUUCACAUCCCUCAAUUAAAAAGGGCUCCUCCAGACUCUUGGAAGCGCACACCAGCUGGAGACCUAAAAUUAAAAUUGACUAGAGAGGUUCCUCCCCAGAAGCAGACGGCGUCUUGAGGUGGACAGCUCUCCCAAGAUCAUGGAUCAAGACCUUCAUCUUCAAUAUGAAACCUUUAUUCCUUUUGCCUUUCUGCUAUUUGUUUUUUUCUGUUAACGCAUGGGAAGACAGUGCUCCUUAACUCUGGCAACUAUCACUGAAUGUACUGCUAAAGGCCAUAGUUACAUAACAAAAGUCCCUCGACUUUCUUGCUAAGGUAGUUUUAGAUAAUAGAAUUGCUUUAAUUACUUCUAGCUGAACAUGGAGUCUGUGCCAUAGCAAAUAGCUCCUGCUGUACCUGGAUCAACACCUCUAGUAUUGUAGCAAAUACAGGAAAUUAACAAAAAAGCCACUUGGCUAAAACAGGUUGAUGCCUCUUCAGGUACAUUCUUUGAUUUAUUUGAUACCAAUUGGCUUGGUUCCUGGGGGCCCUAAGUCUGUUGGUGUUAUCCUCCUAAUAGUUGUCAUUGUAAUCUCCCUUGUGCACUAUGUUCUCUCAGAGAUCUUAAAUGCAUGUUCACAGCCAUCAGCAGUACAUCAGGUGGGCUCAUCGUGCCUGGACAAACAGAAACGAGAUGAACGGCAAAAAACAAUUCUUCCAUGGCUCUGACAUCAUAACCUAUGAGUUUCACAAUGAGACAAGAGCAACUUAACUCUGAUGGUGACUGAGAUUGGCACUAACAUCAAAUUUUUGGUCAAUCUCUCAUGUAUGAAAUGAUGACCAAAAGAGGGGAAUUGUUAAUUAAGCAAGGAGGCCAUUAGACUGAGGUGGCUCUAAUGCUGUGGUGGCCUAUGUAAACAAACCAAAAUCUAAGCCUCUAAAUGCCUCGAGGUUACAAAAUCAAAACUCUAAGGACCACCAAUCACAAACAGCCAACCAGACUUGAAGCUAUAGUCAAUCAAUAAUUUCCUUACUUCUGCCUCUUCUCUAUAAAAGUCUGCCUGAGCUCCUGACAGUGAAGCACUCCUAGCCACCUCGUUUGGCACUGCCAGAUUCCAACAGAUGUUUGCUCAAAUAAACUCAAAAAUUUUAAUACACUUUAGUUUAUUGUUUAACAAGUGACUUCCUCUCUGGAGCUUUUUAUGACACUCUCCCUCCUCCUCGGGGGAUGUAAGCACUUGUGUCUGCUCUCUUCUAAACCGGCUUUAUCAGAGCACGUAUGAGGCUUGCACUUGCUUGCAUGCUCCUCUGCCCCUCCUGAAAUGUGUCCUCUUUGAGGCCGGGGACAAUAUCUGUAUUCUAUUCUGUGUGUUUAGCAUCUAGCACACAGGAGGCUCAAUAAAUAUUUGUUGAAUGAAUGAAUGGGGGAGGAGAAAUGAUCCAGAAAUGCCUAAUAUUAAUAACAAGCAUUUACCCAGGACUAAUUAUACGGCAGGCAUUACACAAAGGCAUGUAUGCUGAAUGGACUGAUUUAUUCCUAAGACAGCCCUAUGAAGUAGGAGCCACUAUUAUCUUCACUUUAAAUUUAAGAAAA